ACAAUUGCAAAAACACCCCUGCAGUUCAAACUGCUCAAAAUCUGUCACUCCGUACCGGAACACGGGCCCGCGCACCGGUACACCUUCCACGAAAACGCCAAACCCGAGCCUCGGGUUCGCUCAAAACUGCCUGUGUACCGGUACACCAUCAGCCCCGUACCGGUAUAGCCAUCAACCCUAUACCGGUACAGCCAUCAACCCUAUACCGGUACAU
rnacentral:lncRNA from 1 species